UACGGAGGAUGCGAGCGUUAUCCGGAUUUAUUGGGUUUAAAGGGUGCGUAGGCGGGCUUUUAAGUCAGCGGUAAAAAUUCGGGGCUCAACCCCGUCCGGCCGUUGAAACUGGGGGUCUUGAGUGGGCGAGAAGAAGGCGGAAUGCGUGGUGUAGCGGUGAAAUGCAUAGAUAUCACGCAGAACCCCGAUUGCGAAGGCAGCCUUCCGGCGCCCUACUGACGCUGAGGCACGAAAGUGCGGGGAUCGAACAGG
rnacentral:rRNA from 1 species